GAUGAACGCUGGCGGCGUGCUUAACACAUGCAAGUCGAACGGUGAUAGCAAUAUCACAGUGGCGCACGGGUGAGGAACACGUAGCUUAUCUGCCCAGAAGCGCGGGAUAACGCUCCGAAAGGAGUGCUAAUACCCGCCUAAGCCUCCCGGACUAUAGAGGUCUGAGAAGGAAAACGGGGAAACCCGCUUGUGGAGGAGGCUGCCGGCCCAUCAGGUAGUUGGUGUGGUAACGGCGCACCAAGCCGACGACGGGUAGGGGACCUGAGAGGGUGACUCCCCCACACUGGGACUGAGAC
rnacentral:rRNA from 1 species